AACGAACGCUGGCGGCAGGCUUAACACAUGCAAGUCGAGCGCCCCGCAAGGGGAGCGGCAGACGGGUGAGUAACGCGUGGGAACGUACCCUUUGCUACGGAAUAGCUCCGGGAAACUGGAAUUAAUACCGUAUGUGCCCUACGGGGGAACGAUUUAUCGGCAAAGGAACGGCCCGCGUUGGAUUAGCUAGUUGGUGGGGUAAUGGCCUACCAAGGCGACGAUCCAUAGCUGGUCUGAGAGGAUGAUCAGCCACAUUGGGACUGAGACACGGCCCGAACUCCUACGGGAGGCAGCAGUGGGGAAUAUUGGGCAAGGGGCGCAAGCCUGAUCCGGCCAUGCCGCGAGAGUGAUGAAGGCCUUAGGGUUGUAAAACUCUUUCACCGGAGAAGAUAAUGACGGUAUCCGGAGAAGAAGCCCCGGCUAACUUCGUGCCAGCCGCCGCCGUAAAAC
rnacentral:rRNA from 1 species